rnacentral:lncRNA from 1 species
CUGAUUGAUCAAUCCUUGGUUGGGAUCUAGGCACGGCUAUGGGGAAGAUAGUGGUGGUUGUGUGCAUCGCAGCGGGACGGCAAUGUUUACGCUGGUGCCAGCGGUGGAAGGGGGUGGAGCUUGUGGGCUCUGCGGAGGCUGACUUGAAGACGAAGGUGGCGGCGGUGAUUAAGGAGGUGGCCCGCACGCUCCUUGAGCUCGAUUAAUCCGAUGUGUGAGUCCCAUGUGUUCAUCAUCAAACUCAUCCUCUCAAAGUACAAUUAGUACAAGUUUAUCUCUUUUUUUCUUUACUACUGAACUUUAUUUUUCUACAUACUUUUUUCUCUCUGUAAUGACUUAGGAUCAUUACUAUGUAUUCAACCAGGGUUAAUCAAUAUUUAGCCACAAUAUGUAUGUCACAAAAUAGCUUCCACCUACAAAGAAUUACAAGACAGGAAACUCGGGGUUCAGAAGCUUGAGAAAUUGUAUGUGGACAUGGCCCCUCAAAAAGAACUUAGGUCCGUUCUCUAUGAGAAACUGAAAAUAUUUUUUAAAAAAUAGGUCAGGUCUAUAUACUAUCUUUGGUAACUGAACCAUGGAUGUUAUGCUUAUAUUGAAAAUAAUAUGAAAUUUACAAGGCAGUGGAGCCAGUUCAUAUUUUGUGAGCAACCAAAGUGCAAGCAGCCUAAAUUAGUAAUCUUCGAAUAAACUGGCUUAUGAAAUUUUGAUGGUUUUGUCAAUAGUACAGUAGCACUGGAUAUUCUGCUGUUUCUUAUAUUUAGAAUUUGCCCUGACCUGAUUUUACUAUUGUGGCAUGCAGAAACCUUGAUGCAAAAGGAAGCUCCAUGAAGAAGAGAUUGAAAAUCCAACAUCACAACAUAUAUAAGAUUUCUUAUUUUCAUGAUUAGCAAAGUUAUUGCAGACUGCUUGUUUGUUGUCUGAUAAAACACAUCUCUGAAAAUUCGAUAGACCCUUUGAUCGAGUUUACAUCUGUUAUCGUGUCUGUUCCAAAUUUGAUUUAGGUCUAUAGGCAAGGGCUAAACUGAAUCAUGCUACUACACAAGGGCUAAACUAAACCAUACUACUACUUCCUACAUGCCCAAUUACUGAUGAUAGGAACUAACGGUUGGGCUGGGCGAUGUUCCCAUGCAUGGUCGCACUAUGUUAAUUAGUGUGUGCUGACCUAACAUGUUACUAUUAUUUUUCCGCAGAGGAGCGAGGGCCUGGCGAAGCACGUGGACCAGUUAUCG